CAGAGAAUAGGUCAUAAACAGUGGCUAAGAUACACUGUGAAAGUCUGUUUACAUGAGUUGAGCGAAUGUCUGGAUGUAUAAAUGUAUAGCAGAUUUUAACUUUGUAUACAUAUUUAAUUUUAAGAUUUCCUAAAGAUGCACAUAAACGUUGAAAUUGGUUGAGGCACUGAAUCUGGAUGGAUUUGUACCCAUGGUGAAUGAACAUUCCUAUAUAUCUAUGUGUGUUCUGGGCACUUUGUGGUUUGGCACAGUGAUGACAGAUCCCUAGAAUGAGAAUUAUUUUCCCACCAUGUUCUCAUAAGGGUAUGUCUGUUGAUGCAGAAAUGCAGAACCAAGCAACCAGAAGGAAUAUUCAAAAAGUAGAGCUACCUGGUGCCUAAGUGUGAAAAGAUGGUGUAGUGGAGAGGUACUUCUGCUACCCCUGGUGAGAGGGCCCGACCUAAAUGUCUGAUGUCAUUGGAGCAUAUAGAUCAGUUUCUAGCCAUUGAUGAGACAGAAAGUUGGAUUGUAUGUUGAAGAUAUUGCUGAAUGCUUUGGAUUCUCAGUCACACCAACUUUCACCUCACUUUCCAUGAUGUCAGCUUUGUCAGUGAUAUGGGGCCACAAGGGGGAUCCAAAGAAAACAAUGUAAAAAAAAUAUGAAGUAAUCUACACUCUACAGCAACAUGCGAGUAUAAUGAACGGGAAAUAUAUAUUCUGAAACAUAAGCAUCCAUGAAUUAUCAAUUUUGUGUGCAUAUGUUUUGCACUUUAAAUGAUUAAAAGUGUUUGUCAUUAAAUAUGUUUUUAAUAAAUAAAUUUAAUAAAUAUUGUAUUGACUUUUUUAUGUCAGUGAUGCUGAUUGAAAUUCAAAAUAAUGGUUACCAGUUUUGGGAAACAACUCUUUUA